rnacentral:lncRNA from 1 species
UAGAUUACUACUGAAGAAAAAAUUUCCACAAUAUUUCACGGUUUUCACCCUAUACGCAAAUAUAAUAUCAGGAUUGUGGUCCCCCAAAAAAUAAUAAAUUAGUGAAACCCCUCGUUUGCAAAAUGCAUAUCAAAUUCAAGAACAAACACAUAUGCAUUCCUCUACAUUAAUUUUAUUAAUUUCGACGAUCGACGUGUAACUUACUGCAACAACAAAAAAAAAAAAGAAGUAAAUAUCAGUUUUUGGUCCAUUGUCUCUAAGCAUAUUACAAAACAAUACUCAUCGUUUCGUUUUUUUCUUAUUUAUAUCCCUCAAAAAUAAUCCGACAACCGGUGUAUGACGUGUUCCAGUCAAGUGCCACGAAGGUAAUACACGUGGAAUUAAAAAAGAAAAAAAAAUCACGAAAUCCAUUCCCCCCUAAUUCUACCCUAACUCCUUCAAUCCACCGGUGAUUCCUCCUCCGCCGAUUUCUCCUUCCUCCGCCAUCUCCUCCGCCGAUUAUUUCCUCCCACGCCAUCUCAUCCGCUGUUGUAUUGCUUAGAUUAUAAGGAAAGGCGAAAAAUAAG